GUAGGAACGGGCCUGUCGAAGUGCGCCUGACAGGAAUCAUAUUGACAGGUCAUGAAAAUGAGACCAAAAGAUCUCUGGAAGCGAUUAAUGAUAAAAUUUCAUGGAGAAGAAGGCCUUGACUACGGAGGGGUUGCCAGGUUCAUGUUGCUGAGGAGGCAGAGGGCUGAGUUCUUCCAUCCAUCGCCUUCAAGUGUCAGGCGGCUUCCGGUUGGACAAGAUGGCUACCCCAGUGGGCUUGUUUCCUCUCUGGUCUCUUUUUCUGUCUAAGACUCACUCCAUACCAGCCUGAGCUUGGGACCAUUGUUUUGCUCCUCUCAUCC
rnacentral:lncRNA from 1 species